rnacentral:rRNA from 1 species
CACGUAGGGCGCAAGCGUUGUCCGGAAUUAUUGGGCGUAAAGAGCUCGUAGGCGGUCUGUUGCGUCCGCUGUGAAAACUCGGGGCUUAACCCCGAGCCUGCAGUGGAUACGGGCAGACUAGAGGUAGGUAGGGGAGAAUGGAAUUCCCGGUGUAGCGGUGAAAUGCGCAGAUAUCGGGAGGAACACCGGUGGCGAAGGCGGGUCUCUGGGCCCGUAACUGACGCUGAGGAGCGAAAGCGUGGGGAGCGAACAGG